GACGAACGCUGGCGGCGUGCUUAACACAUGCAAGUCGAACGGAAAGGCCCUGCUUUUGUGGGGUGCUCGAGUGGCGAACGGGUGAGUAACACGUGAGUAACCUGCCCUUGACUUUGGGAUAACUUCAGGAAACUGGGGCUAAUACCGGAUAGGAGCUCCUGCUGCAUGGUGGGGGUUGGAAAGUUUCGGCGUUUGGGGAUGGACUCGCGGCUUAUCAGCUUGUUGGUGGGGUAGUGGCUUACCAAGGCUUUGACGGGUAGCCGGCCUGAGAGGGUGGCCGGCCAGAUUGGGACUGAGAUACGGCCCAGACUCCUACGGGGGGCAGCAGUGGGGAAUAUUGCACAAUGGGCGGAAGCCUGAUGCAGCAACGCCGCGUGCGGGAUGACGGCCUUCGGGUUGUAAACCGCUUUCGCCUGUGACGAAGCGUGAGUGACGGUAAUGGGUAAAGAAGCACCGGCUAACUACGUG
rnacentral:rRNA from 1 species